rnacentral:rRNA from 1 species
AAUCAACGCUGGCGGCGUGCCUAACACAUGCAAGUCGAACGCGAGAGGGGCUUCGGCCCCGAUUGAGUGGCGAACGGGUGAGUAACGCGUGGGUGACCUACCUUCGAGUGGGGGAUAACGUCCCGAAAGGGACGCUAAUACCGCAUAACAUCCUGCUUUUGAAUGGGUGGAGAUCAAAGCCGGGGAUCGCAAGACCUGGCGCUUGAUGAGGGGCCCGCGUCUGAUUAGCUAGUUGGGAGGUAACGGCCCACCAAGGCAACGAUCAGUAUCCGGCCUGAGAGGGCGGACGGACACACUGGGACUGAGACACGGCCCAGACUCCUACGGGAGGCAGCAGUGGGGAAUUGUUCGCAAUGGGCGCAAGCCUGACGACGCAACGCCGCGUGGAGGAUGAAGGUCUUCGGAUUGUAAACUCCUGUUGCCCGGGACGAAUGGCUCCGACCUAACACGUCGGAGUGUGACGGUACCGGGUGAGGAAG